AGCAUCUUCUGAGACUCACAGGAGAAUGUGGAAUGUUAUCUAUCCAAUCACAGUCAGUGUGAUUAUUUUAUUCCAAAUAUCUACCAAGGAAUGACCAGGAGAAUAAGAUCCUCUGAUGUUCUUAAUGGUGUGGUGUCAGGAGACUGCCUCUUAGACAAUCUCCAGAUGUACUGUGAUGUGAGCUUGAAAAAGAGUUCCUGAAGCAACACAUCUGGGAGACAUGCCACUAUCUGAGCUUCCCAAAAGUCUACCAAGAGCUGAGGAAUUGUAUCUUCAUCCUUAGCACAAAGCACCU